CACGUAGGGCGCAAGCGUUGUCCGGAAUUAUUGGGCGUAAAGAGCUCGUAGGCGGUCUGUUACGUCUGCUGUGAAAACCCGGGGCUUAACCCUGGGCUUGCAGUCGAUACGGGCAGACUAGAGUUCGGCAGGGGAGACUGGAAUUCCUGGUGUAGCGGUGAAAUGCGCAGAUAUCAGGAGGAACACCGGUGGCGAAGGCGGGUCUCUGGGCCGAAACUGACGCUGAGGAGCGAAAGCGUGGGGAGCGAACAGG
rnacentral:rRNA from 1 species